UACAAAAUAAAAAUAAUGAGUAUAAAACGAACUAAGGAUCGUCGGCGCAGAUGUCAACUGAGAAACGCCACCUAGAUCAGAUCAUACUCCUCGCCUUGUGGCUCCUCCUGAACCACCUGUUCUUCUCCUGUGGGGGGGGUGUGAGACAGCAAGGGUGAGCUCACAUACGUUCAUCGCUCAACAAGUUGUGGGGAAUAAUGUGGCAUGAACUCACCAAAGGUGGGAGUUCAUGAAGUGUAAGGCUGACCAAUGAUAUAAGGCUGAAGCUGAGCAUUGCUUUUAGAAGUUGGUCAAAAUUUUAUUAGCAGUUACUAAGUGUGAGUGAAUACCAAACCAUAGUAAAUAUAAAUAAAAGUAAUAAUAAAAUAAUCCCACAUGCAAUGAAAUGACAGAUUAAGUUUAAGUUCCAUAAUUUAAUCAUGUGAGUGUCCGAGCCGCUCAUGACCGUGAGCACGGCUAGUAUACUAGUUUUACACUCUGCAGAGGUUGCGCAUCUUUACCCACAAGUCGUGUUACCCAUUUGCCACGGAGUUGAUCAGACUCCAUACACCUCUACCUAGGAAGCGAGGCAGGGUACCACUACGAGGCCUUUACAAAGUUCCACUAGCUUCAGACUACCCGCUACAGUUUAUAGGAAGUUCCAAUGCAGGGUUCCUGACUGACUGCCAUCGCAGCAAAAUCAACCAGGGACCUCCCUACACUGACCACUCCCCUACUGCCCUUGCCCCUUUCGGGUAAGGUAGCCCUCCACUAGCUUUCCUAGUUAAUCAGCCAAGGGCGUCCCAUUAAACCCUUGUGGUAGCACUGUUUUCCCGGGUGGUUCUCCAUGUUCCCAUUAACAUAAUGAUCUUAUCAUGAAUAAUAAUAAUAAACAGAUAAUAAAAAGUAUAACAAUGAGUGAUGAAUAUCUUUAUACCCAAAGCCACAUAAAGCAAUAGCAUAUACUACCCAAAAAGUUUGUAGUAAAACCAGUGGUGAUACAAGGUAUAAAGAUAGUCAAAAUCUAGGGUAUCCUAUUGGGUCCCAUCAAAAUUAACCUAUGCAGAUCAUUAUGAUUAAUAAGAACAUGAAUGGGUAAAAGAAGUGAUCAAGGGCACAACUUGCCUUCAAUGAGCUCCUGCUCAGCUAUCUCUACUUGUUGAACCUCAGAUCCCACAGUAGCUUGCUCGUCUAUUCGCAUCAAUACAAUACAUACAUAGCAUAGCAUAAAUUAACAUCACAUCAAACAUGCAAAUAAAAUAUACAGUAAUAAACUAGACAUUAAAAUAAGAUCACAGGAAUUGUAAUCAUUAAAUUUGGAGUUAUAUAUUUUAAGUUAUAGAUUUUCUAAGGUUUUAUGCAUUUAAUACAAGAUUAAGUGAAAGAAUAAUUUUAAUGUGUUUUUCAUGUCAGAACAGAGGCACUAAUGGGUAGAAAAUAUUAUUACAAAAAUUUAGGAACUGGAAUGGACCAAUUUGGAGUUAGUAUGAAUUUUCUAUGAAUUAUUGAAGUUCUAGCAAUUAUUUUUCUAUUAAAUAUUCAAUUUCUAAUUCAUUUAUACAGUUUUAAAUAAGCUCUGGACUGGGCCUCAAUUAAUGGGAAACGCAGGGGCAAAACCAAAAUAUUUCCAAGGCACAGAUCACUGGCGCUUGGAGUGCGGGUUGAUUUCUUUUAAUCACAGGGUCUCUUUAGCAAAAGUUGAAGGCCGAAGGGGUAUCGGGGUACAGGAGCCGCCAGAUCUAAAAUCGUCGGUCCAGAUUAGACCGAGACACACAUGAACCAGGGUUCAUUCCCACACGUCGGAUUCGAAUCCUACGCUUCACAUUCACCAAGCCCGCGAUCUAACAGCCACCCUUUGAUCUAACACCAACGGCGCGGAUCGCGCUGGCGAAGAUGUAAGUCACCUUUUUGAUCCUGGCCGCCCAAACCGGAUCAACGGCCCAGAUCGAACGUGGUAAGGAGGUAAGACAUGUUAUAAUCUAGACCGUUGCCCUAGCUAUCAACGACCGUGAUGAUCCAAUAGCCCCCAUACGGAUUGCAAGUCAAUCACCACCGUCCGUUUCAUGAUCUACGGAUACCUUGGCAUCGUCUACCCCACGACACCAAGGCGCAGUCGUCGCGCCAUGCCCGGCACUCCCCCUCUCUCUCCUGUCGGUCCACCGGCGUUCUGCCCGACCAAGACCAGCCAGUGAACGCCACCGCCGUCCCCGGAGGCGCUCCAAAUUCGCUCUAGGGUUACUGAUCCCCCACUGACCGCGCACAUGCCAUAGGAUGGAGAAAGGAAAGUAAUUCCGAGGUGGGUACUCACCGGCGUGGACUUGCCCUCAAUUUGCCACCCCCGCGCGUGAUUGUUGAUCGGAGAAUGCCCUCCCAGGAUCGCGCACACCUCGCCCGCUCGAAUCCGGACUCCAGACGAAGUCGCGGUCAGAAAAUCACAGCAGCGGCAACCAACACACCCGUUCACCACACUUUUGGUUCUAAUGGUGGCUAGAACUAAAUUCAAUCGAACGGUUUAGGGCACCCGAGCUCUCCAAGCUUUAUAGGGACUGCACUAGGCUGGUCAAAUCCACCAAGGCCGACGCGCGUCAUCAGG
rnacentral:lncRNA from 1 species